rnacentral:rRNA from 1 species
GACGAACGCUGGCGGCGUGCUUAACACAUGCAAGUCGAACGGUGACCUCGAGAGCUUGCUCUUGAGUGAUCAGUGGCGAACGGGUGAGUAACACGUGAGUAACCUGCCCCAGACUCUGGAAUAACCCCGGGAAACCGGAGCUAAUACCGGAUACGAAGUGGAGCCGCAUGGCUACUACUUGGAAAGUUUUUCGGUCUGGGAUGGACUCGCGGCCUAUCAGCUAGUUGGUGAGGUAACGGCUCACCAAGGCGACGACGGGUAGCCGGCCUGAGAGGGCGACCGGCCACACUGGGACUGAGACACGGCCCAGACUCCUACGGGAGGCAGCAGUGGGGAAGAUUGCACAAUGGGCGAAAGCCUGAUGCAGCAACGCCGCGUGAGGGACGACGGCCUUCGGGUUGUAAACCUCUUUUAGCAGGGAAGAAGCGAAAGUGACGGUACCUGCAGAAAAAGCACCGGCUAACUACGUGCCAGCCGCCGCCGUAACAC